GGCCUAGUGGCGCAGCGGAAGCGUGCUGGGCCCAUAACCCAGAGGUUGAUGGAUUGAAACCGUCCCCUGCUA
rnacentral:tRNA from 1 species